AAAGAAAGAAAGAAAGAAAGAAAGAAAGAAAGAAAGAAAGAAAGAGAAAGAAAGAAAGAAAGAAAGAAAGAAAGAAAGAAAGAAAGAAAGAAAGAAAGGAAAAAGAAAAAAAUCCACCACCACCCCCAAAGGAGCCACAUGAGGCCCUACGACGGCAGGGAUUUUGACUUCUUUCAAAACUGGACCCAGAGGUCACUUGAAUACCAGUUUGCUGUUUAUGUUUUGCCAAUUUAACCUCUUCGCUGGUAGAACAUCUCUGGGUGAACUGCAGAUGUGGAACUGGGAGGAAAACGUCCUGGAAUCCAGUGUGCUUUUCCAACUCCUCUCUAAGCUGGUUGACGAUUUUACCGUUUAAAGGGGUGAAGUGGUUGAAUUUAUCUUUUCAGAGCUCCAUUCUGCCUAGAUUUUGCCACUUUAGGCUGUCCUCUUCCCACUCCUGACCGUCACUCUCCACCCCCGCCCCCGCAGCUGGGACGCAUAUGCUGGUGUGGCGGAUAGUUUCCUGUGGAAGCCAGCAUGGGUAGUGGGUAGGUGGGUACACAGGGAGCAUUGCUGGGUGGCAACCAGGAGCAUGAGCACAGUGCAGCAGCCCAUGGAAGCUGCAACAGCAGACAUGGGAAGCACCUUUUUUUUUUUUUUUUUUUUUUUUUUGGCCUUGAGCCCAGCCCAAGUAUUAAACAAAAUAAUGUAAUCACAAUGCCAAAGGACACGGUGACGUCCCUUCCACUGUAGUUGCUGUCACCUUGAUGUUAAGCUCAUGGCCAUUCACGUCUGUGUCUUGAAAUGGAUCCUGGUGUACUUGUUUCCUACUGUCACUUCUGGGGCUAAGUCACAGGAUCCUGCAAAUGAGGUGUCCGCUGUCCCCAAUUUACUGUACCAGGCAAAAAGAACACUGCUUUGUUUUCCUGUGUUGUAGAGAAACUAGGGAGAACUUUAUUUUUCAAUAAACUUUUCUUGUGCGACAGGUGGUAGUGAUUUGGGGGUGGGUCCUAAAGCUACAUUUCAUGGUGCCAACACACUGUCAAAGUUAUGUUCAAGCAGCAUCUGGGCGGGUACUGGGGAAUAAGAUAGCUGAGUUUAUAACAGACAGUUGAGUUCAUAGAGUGCUUGCUAUGCAAGUGUGAGAGCCAGGCCCCAACCCUCAUCCGCUUUUUAAAAUGGCAGAUGUGAUGGCACAUGCUUGAAACCCCAGUUCUAGAGAGGAGCCAACAUGGUUGGCAUUCGUAGAAAACUUGUGACUCGGGCCGGGCGUUGGUGGUGCACGCCUUUAAUUUCAGCACUCGGGAGGCAGAGGCAGGUGGAUCUCUGUGAGUUCGAGACCAGCCUGGUCUCCAAAGCU
rnacentral:lncRNA from 1 species